UGGGGAAUUCCUGGACAAUGGGCGCAAGCCUGAUCCAGCCAUGCCGCGUGUCUGAAGAAGGCCUUCGGGUUGUAAAGGACUUUUGUCAGGGAAGAAAAGGACAGGGUUAAUACCUCUGUUUGAUGACGGUACCUGAAGAAUAAGCACCGGCUAACUACGUGCCAGCAGCCGCGGUAAUACGUAGGGUGCGAGCGUUAAUCGGAAUUACUGGGCGUAAAGCGAGCGCAGACGGUUACUUAAGCAGGAUGUGAAAUCCCCGGGCUUAACCUGGGAACUGCGUUCUGAACUGGGUGACUAGAGUGUGUCAGAGGGAGGUAGAAUUCCACGUGUAGCAGUGAAAUGCGUAGAGAUGUGGAGGAAUACCGAUGGCGAAGGCAGCCUCCUAGGAUAACACUGACGUUCAUGCUCGAAAGCGUGGGUAGCAAACAGGAUUAGAUACCCUGGUAGUCCACGCCCUAAACGAUGUCAAUUAGCUGUUGGGCAACUUGAUUGCUUAGUAGCGUAGCUNACGCGUGAAAUUGACCGCCUGGGGGAGUACGGUCGCAAGAUUA
rnacentral:rRNA from 1 species